rnacentral:misc_RNA from 1 species
AAGUCGUAACAAGGUUUCCGUAGGUGAACAUCUCUUCCAGGUUCGCCAGAAUAGAAAGUCUGUAUGAGCAGGCAACAUCUCCACUGUGCUGGGAUUUACAUUUGUAAUACCAGCAGCCUAGCAAUAGGCCCACAGGUCAAAUGGAGGUGGCCCGGAUAGGGUUAAGAUAUGAUCGGGAGGCUGCUAGAAAUUGCAGCUAUACUUCUGCUGCGGAAGGAUCAUUACAGAGAAAUUGCCCUCCGGGGUAGAUCUCCCACCCUUUGUUUAUAUUACCUUUGUUGCUUUGGCAGGCCCGUCUUA